rnacentral:rRNA from 1 species
ACAGAGGUGGCAAGCGUUGUUCGGAAUUGCUGGGCGUAAAGAGCGUGUAGGCGGCCUGGCAAGUCCGCUGUGAAAACUCGGGGCUUAACCUCGAGACGUCGGUGGAAACUGCCUGGCUAGAGUCCGGAAGAGGAGAGUGGAAUUCCUGGUGUAGCGGUGAAAUGCGCAGAUAUCAGGAAGAACACCCGUGGCUAAGGCGGCUCUCUAGUACGGUACUGACGCUGAGACGCGAAAGCGUGGGGAGCGAACAGGA